AAUGAAGUGUCUGAAUAAAGAAUUAUUUUGAUAGAAUAAAACAUGUGAUUUUUCACCUUCAUU
rnacentral:tRNA from 1 species